rnacentral:rRNA from 1 species
GAGUUUGAUCAUGGCUCAGGACGAACGCUGGCGGCGCGCUUAACACAUGCAAGUCGAGCGAGAACCAGGCCUUCGGGCCUGGGGAAAGCGGCGAACGGGUGAGUAACACGUGGGUAACCCACCCUUGGUACCGGGAUAGCCCGAGGAAACUCGGAUUAAUACCGGAUGGCCCAACAGCUUCUCGGAGCGGUUGGAAAAGGUAGCUUCGGCCUCCGACCAAGGACGGGCCCGCGGUGGAUUAGCUUGUUGGUGAGGUAACGGCUCACCAAGGCUUCGAUCCAUAGCUGGUCUGAGAGGACGAUCAGCCACACUGGGACUGAGACACGGCCCAGACUCCUGCGGGAGGCAGCAGUGGGAAUCUUGCGCAAUGGGCGAAAGCCUGACGCAGCGACGCCGCGUGGGGGAAGAAGGCUUUCGGGUUGUAAACCCCUUUCAGGAAGGACGAAGCCACUCGGGUUAAUAGCCCAGAGGGUGACGGUACUU